GAGUGAUUAGGAUUAGAUACCCUAGUAAUUUCAGCCGUAAACGAUGAAAACUCACUGUCGAGCCAAUAUAUGGAGCGGUGGUCAAGCUAACGCGUGAAGUUUUCCGCCUGGGGAUUACGCUUGCAAAAGUGAAACUCAAAGGAAUUGACGGGGACCCGCACAAGCGGUGGAGUAUGUGGUUUAAUUCGAUGCAACGCGAAAAACCUUACCAGGGUUUGAAAUAAUUUCAAAACUUCUUGAAAGAGAAGCCUCCUUCGGGAUGGAAUUACAGGUGGUGCAUGGCUGUCGUCAGCUCGUGUUGUGAAAUGUCAAGUUAAGUCUUGUAACGAGCGCAACCCAUGUCUCUUGUUGCUGUUUACAGUGCUUAAGAGAAACUGCCGAUCAACAUCGGAGGAAGGUGUGGAUGAUGUCAAGUCAGCAUGCCCCUUACAUCCUGGGCUACACACGUACUACAAUGGUCGAGACAAAGGGUCGCUAACCUGCAAAGGCAUGCCAAUCUCAUAAACUCGAUCUCAGUUCGGAUUGUACUCUGCAACUCGAGUACAUGAAGGUGGAAUCGCUAGUAAUCGCUGGUCAGCAUACAGCGGUGAAUACGUUCCCGGGUCUUGUACACACUGCCCGUCACACCAUGGAAGUCGACCCUUCCCUAAGUCGUUACUCGAACCUGUAAAGGACGAGGACGCCGAAGGCAGAGUUGGUGACUAGGGUGAAGUCGUAACAAGGUAGCCGUACUGGAAGGUGUGGCUG
rnacentral:rRNA from 1 species